rnacentral:rRNA from 1 species
GAUGAACGCUGGCGGCGUGCCUAAUACAUGCAAGUCGAGCGAACGGACGAGAAGCUUGCUUCUCUGAUGUUAGCGGCGGACGUGUGAGUAACACGUGGAUAACCUACCUAUAAGACUGGGAUAACUUCGGGAAACCGGAUCUAAUACCGGAUAAUAUUUUGAACCGCAUGGUUCAAAAGUAAAAUACGGUCUUGCUGUCACUUAUAGAUGGAUCCGCGCUGCAUUAGCUAGUUGGUAAGGUAACGGCUUACCAAGGCAACGAUGCAUAGCCGACCUGGGAGGGGGACCGGCAACCCGGGACCUGAGCAACGGUCAGGCCUCCUACGGGAGGAGGAAGAAGGGAACCUCGGGAAAGGAGCGAAAGCCGAACGGGGAACGGCGGCGGGAGGGAGGAAGGUUUCCGGAUCGUAAAAUCCGGUGAUAGGGAAGAAACAGAUGGGUAAGGGAAUGUGCACAUUGUGACGGUAUCUAACCAGAAAGGGACGGCUAACUACGUG